GCUUUCCCAGGUUAGGGUGUUAAGUCUAUGUUGCAUCAGGGUUGAGAGUAGUCUUAUGCAGAGUUUUAGAUUAUGAGUGUUUGGAUAGGAAUGAUCCUGCCUCAGGUAGGGGAUUGGACUAGAUGACAUCUGGAGGUCCCUUCCAGCCCUACUUUUUCAACUAUGACUAUGUAAAUCAGUGCCAGCUCAGUCUUCCCACUCUGAGCAAGUUGAGCUGACAAGGAAGGUGAAAUUCCUAUAACUGCCUUGCAGUUACAUCUCCACCAUGACUAGCUUUGAGGUAUGUGCACCAGUGCUAAACAAAAGCUUUAUGUAGGCAAGAUAUCAGGAGUGCAGUCUCAGGUGAUCAAACAGACUAAAGAGAGAAGGGAUAGGAAAGAGACACUAUAUAGUCAGGAUUUUACAGCACCUUAUAAAGUGAGUUUACAUUCUGUACAGCUGAAGAUGUCCUGCUGUAAGUGUUUAGCAAGUAUCCAGUGUUAACAGCACCUAGAUUUCAUUAAGAUAGAGCAAAGGGAAUAUGAACGUUUUAAUCUAAAUAAAACUGGCUGGUUUCACUACUGGGAAAUGUCUCAGCUGCCAACGGAGAUGAGAUGGGAGGAGACCAGCCAGUCCCCAUUCCUCAACAGGUAGGGGAGUGCUGUGAGGUUUUUGUAGCAACCUCUUAUUUUUUCUGUACAGUCUGCCAUCUCUGUGCCACUGAAAAGCACCUGUUAGUAGUGGCCAUUCCCUUGAUGAGUUGAAUUCCAGACAUGGGAGUGGGGUACAAACUCAGCAAGUCAUGUCUGCAUGAAAGAACAGAAGCUUGAACAUCGACUAUAAAUAGGUGUGCCUGCUUGAUGACCAAAUGCUUAAGUAUGAGAAUGGGCUUGGUUUGGGUGCAAUGGCUUGAGCUCUUUACAUUCUCUGCCACUUCAAGUCUUUUGAGGUCCAAAAGAGGUGUCCUUUUGUCCUAUGUAACAUAACUUAGUAAGGGCUGUCUACAUAUUUAUGUAGACAUUACAGUGUCACAGGGAAUCUGGCCCUCCAAGUGGGGUAAAAGCUAAGCUGUGGGUGAUUAGUUGGCAUUUAAAAGCCCAGGGGAAGAGAGGGCAAGCAGGACACACUGAGGAAGAAGUGGUUUGGGGCCAGGGGACAGGCUGAAACCCAGAAGAGCUUGCUUCUAAGAUGGGCCAGAACUAAAGAGCAUGUUCUCAAUCAUCUGCAUUUUUCUUCUUUUUAUGUUAUUAAAUUCUCAGUUUCUGGGAACCUAUCAGCAUAAGACAUAACUAUGAUGUACAAAGGGAAGUAUACAACUCAUUAUUAGAGCACAGCUAUGAUGGGAGAGAGUUCUCCAAGAGAGUUACUUGACUAUUGGAAUGAUGGAAAAAGAAGCAGGAAGGAAAAAAGCAGUAAGAAGGAAUAUAUUGAAAAUGCCACAGAGGGUGCUAUAAACAUCCGACUACCGCACCAGUUGGGUAGACUCCUGUCCAACGGGCAACUAGCAGCAUUAGAUUCAUAGGGCCAGAAGAACAAGCAAAAGGCAGCCUGACUCUGUAGGUCAGUGAUGGGACCUUUAUGAGGGCUUUUGGAUGAUUGCUUCACUUUCCCAGUGCUCAGUGCUAAUGACUCACCUGCACUGUGACGUAGCUUCUGGAAAGCUUCCCAUCAGGACUGCUGCAGCGCUCAGCAGAUUUGGAAGGCACUAUCAAUACUAGGACUGCAAGGAAAGAGAGGCUUAAACAAAAGGUUAGUCACCACCACCAAGAGCUAGUGAAAGCCCUGCUGAGUCCUAAGAAGGAGCAGCCUUUGGCCUUCCAAGGUCCACAGGAGAAGGUUACAGGUAGAAGUGUGGAUGGCAGAGUGGGGACUUGUGGACAGGAGGAGGCCCCUCAGAGGGAGGAUUUCUGCAAAACAGAAGGGAGCCAAGGAUCUACAACCCAACACGGGAAUAAAACAAAACCAAAGAAAGCUUCCAUCUCACAAGCUUCACAGUCUCUCCUGCAAUGUGCUCAGUAUUGUGCUGGCUGUCAGCAGGUGCUGGGGGAGGAGGGGCUGUGGAGAGAGCACCAGCACCUUACACUUUCCCAUCCUGCUAAAUUGGAGAGGGGGAAAGCUCCUUGGAAAUGGGGAGGUGGUUGCCCAGGGUGCCUGUUGUUUGGAGAAGGUUAGCAUCUCCCCACCCAGCCUUCCUCCAGCACCACCAAACCUGUCAAAAAAUUCAGGGCAACAGGUUCACUCCUGGCCUCUCCCAGCACUGAAACACGGCUACUUCUGGGGUGGAAGUGUGACUAGGGUCAGAAGCAUCAGGUCUGGAAAGGCAGAAAGAACAGCCAGGAAUGGAGAGGGGCAGGGAAUGCCUGGCUCUAGGGAGCAUCAGAGAAAAGCAGUUACCUGUUGUACUUAGAGCUGUUGCAGGGAAAAGCAAAAGACUUCUGAGAAGCGAACACCAUGCAUGAAAAACAGUGUGGUGGAUGCCAUUUCACCAGCCAGAAAAAGACAAGGAGUUGAAGCCUCUUCAGAUCAUACCACAGGCUCAUUAUUGGCCUGAUUUUACCCUCAUGGACAUCAAUAGCAAAUCCCACACUGACUUAAUAAAAUGGUGUAGGAUUGUGCCCCAGGACAGCAGCUGUCUAUUGGAUUGCUACAUUAACAAGGUCAGGAUCGGGUUAGGAUUUGCCCUUCUCUCCCUCAUGGCACUGCACAGUUAAGAAAACAGAUGGAUCAAUGCCCAAUAUGAGCACCCACCAAUAUUGCAUUAGCUACUGAGAGGUAGGAACUUGUCAGGUAAUGAGUGAGAGAGCAGUUGAGAGCACAUGGAUGGUUUCCUUUUAUCUUUACAAAUAGCAGUUGGUGUAAUUUUCUGGUGUCUAGUCUGGUGCUGUCUCUGCAGCUUCUAAUCAAUUUUUGCCUAUGGGUGGAUAAAAAAAAACUUAUUCAUCCAUCAAGCGUGUCCUCUCACCAUUGUUACACAACUGCUUUGCUUCUAUACCAAGCAUUGAUCAAUAAAAAUGUAUUUGCAGGGAGAAAAUAAUUCACACCAGUUGAUCCAUGCGAGGCAGCCUGUACCCUUAAAGCUCUUGCAAUGCUUUCUGCCACAUACAACUGGUACCUCUCUUCCCCUUAGGGCUAAGCUGCCAGCAUUAGUUUUCAUCUACCAUGGGGUAAGAGCACAGAUACAGGGAGUUACUGAGGAAUAGCAGUUCUGAAGUCUCUGCCUUCCUUUUACUUCACCCCAAUUUGGUCUUGUGUCUGUGCGCCUCCCAUGAACUGCUAAAGAUGCUUAUUGGUAUAGGGUAAGAGACACCUGUUUUCCCCUUUACCAUUAGAUCAUAAUCUGCAGUCAUACAGAAUGACUAGAAAUGAAAAUUAAUUUAAUCAGUGGAAACUAGGCUUGAUUGAUAGGAUUAACACUGCAUAAUCAGGGGCCAGUCAUCAAAGUCAGACAUCUAAGCCCACAUUCAAGCAUAUACGUGCACCUGCUUGCCAAGGAGACGUACAGAAUUACUCCGGUUAUAGAGGAAAAUAAGGUAAUGGCUCAGAACUGGCAAUCUGGUCCCCAGUGAGCUGCUUGUUCUAACAAACACCUGUUAAGCUCUUUCCUGAAUUUGUGUAUUUGCAUUAGUUUCCUGAAUUUUGAAAACUCUUGUAUUGUCUCACCUUAUGUGGCUGAUAUAUGAGCACAGCCUGAUUAAUCACUAAUGACUAUAAAAAUAGAAGAUCAAAAUUAGGAAAGGCAUGUGGUAGUAUUUACUGGUAACAGAAUACUCUUCUACAAAAGGACUCUGGGUUGGAUCAAGUGGAUUUAGGCACCCGAGUGUGACCAUAUCUCUUUUUCAGGGACUUGAGUGUGGAAUAGGAUCACACUUAAGUGACUAUUAAGUGGAGAAAGAUUAGAUCCAACAUAGGUCAUAGGAAGUGCUUUCAGUGUUGCCUAUAGAUAAAGCUACCCAGCUCUUCCCAUUAUAUGACCCUUAUUUUCAUUUGCUUGUAAUUUUGCCAAGCCAAACAUUAGGUCCAAAAUGCUGCAGGCCAACUGCCUGCCUCAGGUUGAUUUUUUUCCUCCAAAAUAGUUCUGCAAUUUCAAAGACCAAGGUUAGAGGAAAAGAUGCUGUUUUGCAAGCAUAACUGUUUGACUGACUUGAACUAGUUGUGCAGGGAGCCUGGAAGUAGAACAAGGAGCAUGGGACCAAGAUAAGGAGCCUACCGUGCAGGAGAGACAGGAGCAGUGUGGAAGUGAUGGGACAGAAGGGAUCAAGCCUGGGGGUGACUGGUGACAGGGAACGCUCUGUGCCCAUUAGAUCCCACUCCUCUCCGGAGCCUGGAAUUUCUAGGUCUCAGUGUUUCUCUGUUAGCAGUACACAUCUGUGAACCCACUCCAAGAUACAUCUGUCACUGGUUCCUGUAUAGCAUAACAACCUACUAGUGCUGUCAGUAGCAUGGUUAGGUCAGGUAGCAAAGUUUGUGCAGCGGAUCUGAAUGUUCCAACCCUAUUUAGUGACAUCUCCCUGGUUUAUAUUAUUUUGAGGAUGGAGUUUGAGUUGUUCUUCUCCCAUUUUGUAUGCAAUUUCUUAAGGGUUUCUAUAUGUUCUACAAAGUGUUCCAAGUAGCUGUAGCCGCUCUGGCUUCCAGUUUGAGCCACAGGGAACAAGGAGCACAGGGUUAGCAAAGGACAUUUUAAAUCACAGUCACUUUACUCUUCAAAUGCACUAGGGUUAUAUUUUUUUGCAAAAAUAACAAAGACAGCUUCAAACUCCAAUUAGAUCUGACCCUUACUGCAAGUUUGAGGUCUUGGCAGCUUUUCAGGCCUGGCAGACUCCUGCCUUCUAAAGAUGACUUGGUAGUGGGCUGUUACCCCUUCCCUGAGCAUCUCUCAAUAAGCCUUAAUAAUAUGUAGUCUUCAAACCUGCUGGAUUCUGCUGCCUGGAGCAUCUCUCAGCACACCCCAAUAAUGUACAGUCUUUUAACAAAGCAAAGCAAGCAAACAGGAAAAAAAACCUUAUUGUCCUAGACGCUAGGAGAAGUCUAUUGUGGCUUCCACCUUCCUACUACAGGCUUUUCCUCCUCAUAGCCCAGAAGUCACCCAUCUCUUGUACUUCUCUUCCACAUCCUCCUCUCGUUCUGCCUGCUGGAGUUAUUGACUCCCAGGGAGCCAGCCCUCAUUAGCCUUCCCACAGCUGUAGCCCUUCAGCCAGGCCAGCUGCCUUCUCUUAAGAGGCACCGGCAGACCCCUUCUUGCAUGAAGUCAUUAGUCACUUCUCAGACCCUGUACUACUCCAGGCUUCACGGAAGCCCAGAUAGCCAAGAGCUACCAUACUUCCUUAUUCUGGAAAAUCUGUUCUCUUAACCAUGAAAAAUCAAGGUAGCCUGGCCUACCUUUGGUAAACUCCUGUUGCAUUUUAUCCUAUUUUCUGUUUAUCUCGUUGUUAAUUAUUCUUUUCUUCAAAAUUUGUUUUCCCUGCCCCCCACCGUGUUGCCUUGCCCCCUCCUCCAGCCCCGCAAUGUAUCCUGCCACCACCCACCCCAUAGACUUACCUGGAGGGAGCUGCUCUCUACUGCUGCUUAGCUGCCAUGUGCACAUGUGAGUACACAUGCACGUGGUGCCCCCACCUCCAAUCAUCCUCCCCAACUCCCCCAGCCCCAAGCUGCCCCUUCCAGGCUGGAACUCAGCCAGUCUGCAAGGGGAAACCUGCAUUUUCCUGUGUUUUUCUCCUUUAAAGAAGACAUUUGUGAUUUUCUCCUUUAAAAGAGAAAAUCUGUGUUUUUUUCCAUUAAUGGAGAAAAUCCUUAUUUUUCCAUGUUUUUCCAUGGUGAACGGAAAACCCAGAUCCCUGUAUCGUGACUCCAUCCACUAAUCUUGCGACCCCAUUUGGGAUUGCGACCCACAGUUUGGGAACUGCUGUUUUAAAGCCUUGCACCCUACCAAAAACAGACUAACUGCUUAGAUCACAUAUUUCAGUUCUGCAAUCAUUUCGCUCCACCUCAAUUCAAUAGAUUUGUUAAAAACCACACUUGUUACUGGACCUGAGAUUGUAUGGGCCAGUUCUUUAACAAUUCUCAGAGGAGGAGUAUUCAGACCCUGUGACAUGAGUACAUUGAGCUCAGUGGGUUUUGUCUCCCUUUAGGUGUGGUAAUUUCCAUUUUCACAUCCUUAAGACUUCACUGAUAUUUUUUUCAUUACCAAUAUCUCCUCAUUCACCUAAUUUUUCUUCCUCCUGUGUAUUAGAACACACUUCCUAUCCAGCUUUGCCCUUUCAUUUCCUGGUUCAAGUCAUUACAACCUCAGUCCCAAAAUUAUUACUCCAGUGUAAUGGGAGACUCCUAACCCCAUUACAGGAAGGAGACUGUGUGGGAGAAAAAAGAGAGAGCUGCAACUUUAAGGCCAGGUUGAGCCAGCUAAAUGCAGUGACCCCUGAAGCUAUAUAAACCUAGUGCUGGGGAGAGGAGCAACCUGGUGAUAGAGCUGGAGCAGUAGGACCUUUUGGACUUCUAAUUGUGAUUAGGUCCAAAGGAGGGCUAGAGCUAGGAGAAACUCAGUAAGAAGGAGGAAAGCCUGGGGAGCGCCUGGAGAAGAGACACUCAGGGGAGAGUUGAGUUUGGCUUUGGUUUUUUGUAAAGAGAGACCUAUGCUGUGAAGCAUGGGGUAGCUGUGAGAGGAGCUGGGAGGCCAUGGUGGGCACUGGAGAGUGCAGGACUGCUCAUGAUGUGAAGCUAGCAAGUUGGGCUAGCAAGUCUAGGGGAGACUGCCUAGGGGCUGACCUGGCUCAAGGGGAAAGAGUGAGAGAAUGAUUAGAGACUGAUGAGCCUGAGGGGCUGACAAGAUAUGAAGUUGGUGCAUGGACAGAGGAAGUUUCAUUGAGACCAAGAGCUAUGAGGGUCUGAGCAAGAACAGCCCAGUGAUGUGAAAAGAGAAAGUGGAGCCUAAGACUGCUCUCCAAACAAACUGAGGAACUACUCCUUAGUGUCAAAAGUGUGGCAGAUGAGAGCUAGGCUGCUGGGACAUCAGGCGGGCAGGUGAGAGGUGACUGCAGCAGCCCACAUUCAAGUCUUCUGGCCUGCCAUACCCAGGUAAAGACCAUCCUUCAGAAAGAAUCCUCUUACCAUCCUCAAAACCUCUCACGGCACCCAUCCUUAACCCAUCCACUGACUGUUUGCAUUAUCUCAUCACAGUCUCAUCCUCCAUUCUCUAGGCACCAGAAGAAUUUAGCUGAAGAUCACCCGAGCCUCCACUCCUCCAGGGUCUUCGCAGCCCAGUGGGGUCACUCUUGAUGCAUUCCCAUAGGGACCUUGCAGCAUUGUUUUUCCCCACUAUGCGGGAUGGUCAGUGGCUUCUUCCCUGACCCCAGAAGAAACCUCUUCAGUCUUAGGUCCAUAUGUUGUUUGUCUGAUCAUGGCAAAUGGCACAUCCUUUCAUUCUCUGGAUCUAUCUUUGUGACCAGACUGUUGAUAUUUCUUUACAAUAUAUUCCAAAACAAAAGGAUCUUUCUCCUGGUGCUGGGGUGAAUCUCUGGUCCUCUCAGAUCCCAACUGCUAUUCUCUCUCUCAAUCAUCUAAUGUCCCCACUGCUUCUUAGGCUCUGGUCCUUGAAUGGUCUCCUCUCUUCCUGGGGGAUUGGCUCUUCUCUUUUUUUUGCCACCCCUUUUGUGUCUGCCUCUUUCUUCACAUUCUCCAGUGCUGGUCCUGGUCCUCACGGUGAGGGUUUUUUUUUUUCCUUCACUAACUGAUCUUCUUCUGCCUCAUUCCUGUAGUCAUGUGCUUUCAUGGAUCUAACAUUUCCUCUCCUCUCCUGCACUGCAUCUUCAACUCCCCAGCCAAACACUACCAUUAGCCACAUCCAGUGAUCAUGGCUGUGCAGUACAUGGUGCCACAGACAUGUCUGUAGCACCACAUUCUUCAUAUUCAUUUGCUCUCUGCGCUGCAAGGGAGCAGUGUGGCAGGUGGGUGGUUUUCUAGGGGGUGGAGUUGACCACUGAAUACCUGCGCAGAAAAAAAGAGGAGUGGCGCACACACAGGCAGUGUGCACGGCUCAAAAGUAAAGCUGGGCUGCAUGGAGCCGUGCUCUGGCUGCUUGCCAGCCUCUGCAUGGCAGAAUCGUCACUGCUGCAGCCCUGGGAGGACCCCAGGGCUCCAGGUAAGGCUGCUGGGGCCAGCCCAGUGCUGGCCCCAGCCUCCCCUAUGGCCCCUGGGGUAAUUUGUUGUGCACCAGAGCAUGCGUGGUACAGGUAUCCCUGGAAAACCAAACAUCUGCACCAUGUGUGGACAUGGCCAUUGAGUCUAGCUGCAUCUUGGGUCCUCUGAUCUUCCCUUCUGUGAAUUCAGUGAGGUACCACUUCAUACCUAGAUUCCCACCCAAGGUGAUGGUAAACCCUGCAGCUUCUAGGUCCAGUCAUCUGAGGUGUCUCUGGAAUUCUUUAGGUGGCCCUCGCCAUCACUGACUUUUUCCCUCCUCCUUCCUUUCAAAGGAAAAAAUACUCCACCUUUAAAUUCCCACCCCAAACUCCCCUGUUUACUGCUCCCUGGUUGCUAGCUGCUUGACUCCAUUUCCUUGGUCAGCCUCACCUCUUGCUUAGGCUCAGCACUUAGUUGUAUGUGAGCUGUGAUCAGGACCCUUUGCAUUCUCAGCUGCAAGGCCUCCAUCCUACUUGCGACCUGAACCGACUCUGCAAACUGCAGCCGCAACAACCACAGAAGAGCACAUUUGAAAAGCAGAGGCAUCUCCAGUUCAUUGCCAGAAUUAUUUAUAGUCUAUACAGGCUCCAACCUGUCAUGCUUGAUACUGUACAGCAUAUAGUCAGACUGUUCCCCUUGCAGAGUUCAUAGUAUAAAAGCACAAAACAACUGUACCGUGAGAGAAGGAGCAGUCGCAAAGAGCUGAAGUGUCUCACCCAAGUGGGUCAGUGAUGGGACUGGAACUAGAACUACUAGGUAAAGCUGCAUGACCGGCUAUGGAGGAAGGAUAUGCAGCCAAGACUCCUGCCCACAUCUUAGUCCUAGCCCAACAGCAUGUCAAAGGCACUUACAUGGCUUCCUGUUACCAUAAUAUCUCAGCGUGCCUUAAUAUGAUUACCUGCAUUUUGCAGGCAAGGAGCAAAAGCAGGUCUCUUGAAUCCUGACCCCUGGAAUUUCCUUCCUCUCGCUUGAGGGGUGCCACAUUUCUGGGAUGGGAUGGAGCAUUCAAUCCAUCCCCCUUCAAACACCAAGGCCUGCUAUUGCAGUUUCAAUGGGCUAAGCCUUUUAUACAGGCUUUGCUCACGGGAUGAAGAUUUGUCGUAAAGCUUACAGGGAUUUAUGUUGUAUGUUACUAUAUAAAUCUUGACUUGCAUUACAGCUAUUUAACAACGGAGGGAGUAAAACCUAUUGAUGCUCAAGAUGGAUUCUUCCUGUGUGGGCCAACGGGCUGUCUCUUUCUGGUGUAUAAAUGUGCUCCCAAUGAACUCCAGAAAAAAAUACGCCACUGAAAAGGUAUUGGCAACAUUAAAAUGCUGUGAAAUCGGUCACCUCAAAAUAUCUAAUUAGUGAAACUACUGAUUUUUCAACAUUCAAGUUAUGGUUUUUACAGUAUACUAUGUUCAGUUUAAAAGAGUUUGCUUUGUGGCCAGCCUUCUGUUCUUAAUGCACACAUUUAAUGGAUCCUGUUUGAAAUGAUUAAAUGGUUAACGAUCAACUAAACCUAGUGAAUUAUGAUUCAGAAAAGCAUAACUCUCACAUAUGGGGUCAGUACUGCUUGUGUCAGUGCAAUUAACUCAUACUGAACUUGGCUAUUUAUGUGAAUAAGUAUUCACAGUCUAUAUCUAUAUUUGCUUUUCUUAUCAGCUGACAUCUGUCAGUCGCGCCUGAUUUUCAUGAAUGGCUUUGCUCUAUACUGUAUGAGAAAGACACUGUUAGAGCGAACAGGUAUGGAGUACUUUAGUGCUACCAUAAAUAUACACUAGGGGAUGCUCUUGGGUCAUCAUUAAGAGAUAAACUGCCUUGUCUUGUUUCUCAGCUGUGAGGAGUUUACUUUUAACAUGGCAUGAAGCUAAUAAUAAGGUGUUUUCAAAUGAAAAAAGUGUAAUGUGAAACUAAUAAAGGAUACUG